rnacentral:rRNA from 1 species
GACGAACGCUGGCGGCGUGCUUAACACAUGCAAGUCGAACGGAAAGGCCCUGCUUUUGUGGGGUGCUCGAGUGGCGAACGGGUGAGUAACACGUGAGUACCUGCCCUUGACUUUUGGUUAACUUUAGGGAACUGGGGCUUAUACCCGAUAGGAGCUCCUUCUGCCUGGUGGGGGUUUGAAAGUUUCGGCCGUUGGGGAUGGAAUCGCGGCCUUUCAGCUUGUUGGUGGGGUAGUGGCUUACCAAGGCGUUGACGGGUAGCCGGCCUGAGAGGGUGAACGGCCACAUUGGGACUGAGAUACGGCCCAGACUCCUACGGGAGGCAGCAGUGGGGAAUAUUGCACAAUGGGCGGAAGCCUGAUGCAGAAACGCCGCGUGCGGGAUGACGGCCUUCGGGUUGUAAACCGCUUUCGCCUGUGACGAAGCGUGAGUGACGGUAAUGGGUAAAGAAGCACCGGCUAACUACGUG